rfam:Medicago truncatula strain A17 chromosome 7, whole genome shotgun sequence.
UUAUAAGCAAAAAAACUACUUUUUAAGUUCAUUGAAUAAGUGAUGUACGUGGUCAUUGAUUUAGACCAUAUACAUCAUUUAUUCGGUGAACCUAAAAAGUAGAUUUUUGCUUAUAA